UACAGAGGGGGCAAGCGUUAUUCGGAAUUAUUGGGCGUAAAGGGCGCGUAGGCGGCGAUUCAAGUGACGGGUGAAAUCCCUCGGCUUAACCGAGGAACUGCCUGUCAGACUGGAUUGCUUGAGGCCGGGAGAGGUGAGUGGAAUUCCCAGUGUAGCGGUGAAAUGCGUAGAUAUUGGGAGGAACACCAGUGGCGAAGGCGGCUCACUGGGCCGGUACUGACGCUGAUGCGCGAAAGCGUGGGAGCAAACAGG
rnacentral:rRNA from 1 species